rnacentral:rRNA from 1 species
UACGAAGGGUGCAAACGUUAUUCGGAAUCACUGGGCGUAAAGGGUGCGUAGACGGCAUGUUAAGUUCGUUGUUAAAGGCUCCGGCCUAACCGGAGUACCGCGAUGAAAACUGGCGAGCUAGAGGGUGAGAGAGAGAAGUGGAAUUCCUGGAGUAGCGGUAAAAUGCGUGGAUCUCAGGAGGAACACCAAUGGCGAAGGCAGCUUCUUGGCUCAUUCCUGACGUUGAGGCACGAAAGCGUGGGGAGCAAACAGG